rnacentral:rRNA from 1 species
CAGUCGCCACGGGAAUACGUAGGGUGCAAGCGUUAAUCGGAAUUACUGGGCGUAAAGCGUGCGCAGGCGGUUAUAUAAGACAGAUGUGAAAUCCCCGGGCUCAACCUGGGAACUGCAUUUGUGACUGUAUAGCUAGAGUACGGCAGAGGGGGAUGGAAUUCCGCGUGUAGCAGUGAAAUGCGUAGAUAUGCGGAGGAACACCGAUGGCGAAGGCAAUCCCCUGGGCCUGUACUGACGCUCAUGCACGAAAGCGUGGGGAGCAAACAGGAUUAGAUACCCGGGUAGUCCCUGUCUCUUAUAC